CAGUAGCCACGGUAAUAUGUAGGGUGCAAGCGUUAAUCGGAAUUACUGGGCGUAAAGCGUGCGCAGGCGGUUUUGUAAGACAGAGGUGAAAUCCCCGGGCUCAACCUGGGAACUGCCUUUGUGACUGCAAGGCUAGAGUACGGCAGAGGGGGAUGGAAUUCCGCGUGUAGCAGUGAAAUGCGUAGAUAUGCGGAGGAACACCGAUGGCGAAGGCAAUCCCCUGGGCCUGUACUGACGCUCAUGCACUAAAGCGUGGGGAGCAAACAGGAUUAGAUACCCCCGUAGUCCCUGUCUCUUAUAC
rnacentral:rRNA from 1 species